AUUGAACGCUGGCGGCAGGCCUAACACAUGCAAGUCGAGCGUGCGAAGGACGGGUGAGUAAUGUCUAGGAAACUGCCUGAUGGAGGGGGAUAACUGCUGGAAACGGUAGCUAAUACCGCGUACCAUCAGAUGUGGGCAGAUGGGAGUAGCUAGUAGGUGGGGUAACGGCCCACCUAGGCGACGAUCCCUAGCUGGUCUGAGAGGAUGACCAGCCACACUGGAACUGAGACACGGUCCAGACUCCUACGGGAGGCAGCAGUGGGGAAUAUUGCACAAUGGGCGAAAGCCUGAUGCAGCCAUGCCGCGUGUGUGAAGAAGGUCUUCGGGUUGUAAAGUACUUUCAGUGGGGAGGCGUUACCAGCAGAAGAAGCACCGGCUAACUCCGUGCCAGCAGCCGCGGUAAUAC
rnacentral:rRNA from 1 species